CCUUAUUAAUUCUGCCUUGAAACCACAGGUACAGAGAAGAGCAUCCACAGUACCCCAGAGCCCAACUCAAGAGCAAGCAGAAUCAUCUUGAAAGGCUUGGAAGAAAUAUUAGUGCUGCCCUUGAGGAUGGCCUGCUUCAUCAGUGUUACCCUGAAGAGGAGUUUGAGUUUGUCAUCCUAAAGCUGCAAAACAAUUUGGUUCUUAUGUGAGAUAGUAAAAACAUCCUGCCAAAACCACAAUGUGGUGGAAAAAUUAAACAUCAGAUCAUAGCUCUGUGAAAAGAGUUAUAUGGAUUAUCCACAGAUGAACUCCUAGGAAUACUGUUUAGCUGGGGUUCCUCUUCUCCUCUCCGAUCUUAUCUCUCAGAGAUUGUUCAGGUGAUGUUUCCUUUCAUAUCUCACUUUAGAAAAGCAGUCAAUCAGUAUUUGGUCUUCCAUUUUCCCACAUUGCCAUGAGUUAGUGGAAUGUUCAUUGUCUUACUUGAUGUAGGAACACAAAUCCUAAACCUGCUGCUCUCCUCCUAAUCUCUCAGGGUCAUCACAAGAGCUGCUCAUGGUUAUCCUCUGCUGAGCCAAAGGCCCAGGAGGGUUACUGCAUUUCCUUCUAAUCCUUCAUAACCAUUUCCUAUUAAGCUCAAACAGCUCUCAGCUUUCCAACAGUUUUUUAACCUUUUGUUCCUUAGUUGCUUUUACUGUGUCUAGGUUAUUUUAAGGAGAGAGAAUGACUUUAUCUUUAGGCCUCUACUAAAUAGAGGUCUUUUACUUCAGGCCUCUAUUCUCCUGAGGGAAGGUUAAUAUACUAACAUAAAUCAAAGACCUGACCAUUUUGGCCAGGCACAUCCAUGACCUUUUCCCACGGCAGUGUUUAAAUGCCCCACAACUACCUGUGAAUUUAUUCUUACUGUGCUACAGUGAACAUCCUAAGUCAUUGUUGCUAAAUUCCCCCCACCCCUACAAAAACAUCAUGUCUCAGGUUUCCCAGAUCAUGUCCCUUAAGUUUACAAUCAAACAGAGAAGUUGUCUCAAGUCUGGGUCACCAGUCAAUACUUCAAUGACACCUUCUUUCCAGUUGUCCCAGGGGUUUGUCUGGUGGGGAUCUGCUUUUUCCCAAAUGGGGUAUGCACACUGAAAGGCUUGGCAUGACCCUUCUAUGCUGAGUCCCUUCUGAAACAUGGAGUGAGAUACAAACUUAAGGCUUUUUCUGGAUGGUUUGGGCAUCUUCAAACAACCACUACCCAAGCUGUGCAGAUGGGGAAACCCAUCCCAGAUUUCCUCAGAUGUGAAAUAGGAGUUUGACUCCAGAGCUUCUAGAAAUAGACAGCAUAUUAGCCAGAGAAGAAAUAUUCUGCAUAAAAUUCACUCUCAAUCCAGCUACAUCAGAAACAAGACAGACAAAAUCAAACUUCUUCCCAAGGUAAAUUACAAAUAUUAGCUACAAGCUAGCUACAGGCUCACAUAAUUGAAGUGAAUAUGCUAAUUGUAACAAACCUGGACUCCAGCCAGGAUAUAAAUUCAUGUUGCAACAUGAGUAGAUAUCUCCCAGCAUUAAUGAGUACAGAGUGAUCUAUUUCCUUAGAGCCCCUGUUGAUAUCUUAUCUGUGUCACCAUGAGAUGCUGCUCUCACACUCAGGGGUGCUAAAAUGUGCUCUUGUAAUGAUGGCUUGUUAUGAACGGGAGCUGCCAGUGCAUUGCAAGAGGAAAUUACCCCUCUGUCCUUUGACUUCUUUCAGAACCAUUUCUUUGUUUUCCUGGAAAGGUGGCAGUGGGCCACACUUUGAAUUGGUGAGUGAAUACAGACCAUGAGCCACUGGUAUGCAGGUAUAGAGCCAUGAAGGUGUCCCAAGGCCUGCAUAAGGUUAAUCUGUGAAGAAAGACCAAGAAAUCAAAAGGACUCUGAAAUAGACAGGGAAAAUCUGGUAUCAUCUUCACUAAGCUAGCCAGCAUGGCAAUCCCUUGUUGGAGGUAGAAUCUCAUGGGGCAUAAUCAAUGAAUAAUGUUUUAUGACAUCUCAAUCUGUCCCAAAGUCUCCACUCCUUCCUGAUGAAUGGUGAUCUAUCUGUAGUUAAUCACUUCUCAAAUAGCAAUUCAACAUCCUAGAGCUCUGACCCUUUGGCAAGUAAACCUCAGUAGUAUAGAUCACUGCUUGGCACAGCCUCAGUGCCAAAGCUCCCAAGGCACAUUCAAGCAGUGCUUCACUCUCAGCAAGGAACUCCAGACAAAGUCAGGAUAUGGGUUCCUGACUACAUGAAGACUCAACUUUGCUUGACUGGGCUCUUCUGAUAACUUUAACUACCUUAACACAUUUCCUCUCCUUGACCUAUAUUUGCUGAUGUCACUUCUCUCAACUGAAGUAGAAGUGCUAAGAUGUAGAGUGUUUUCAAACUGCACAGGUACUUUUGUGUGUAUAUAAAUUGCUUUUCCAGGUGCCUCUGCAGGUGGAUUAAACUUGGCAGUGCUACAAAUAACACAGUCUCUACUGGAGAAUCUGUGUUCACAGAGAAGGAGAGUGGAUGACAAGACCUAUAAGAAGCAGAGAGCAGCUCUGAGGCAGAAAUUCAAAGUCUGCUAUCUGGGCAAGUGUCCUAGUAUACUUGGUUGUUGAGCAAAGGGAAUGCUGUUUUCUGUUGCUACCCUGCAGUAUGAGAAAGAUGUGUUCCUGCCAGCACCUGAAUGCACAGUGCCAGAGCCUGAGCCCUCCAUGAGACCUUGGAGGUUAAAAACCACCUUCACAGCUCCUCUGGACAUGAACGAGUGUUGGUACCCAUCUGCCAUGGCAAAACUUCACCUGGGAGGAAACUGGAACAUAAUGCAGGAUUGUGCAGAGCAGGCAUUGCCUCAUGAGUGACCAGAGCACACAGGUGGAGAGGCCUAGGAUGGACCCUACCUGGAAGAAGAGAGACCUUGGGAAAGAAAGGUGAUAUCCAGGAUCACCAGUUGGGAAGGAGAGAGAAGACUUGGGCUGAGAAAGGAUUGUGACAGAGCAUGUAAAAAAAAGAAGGCCAGAAGAUGCUGAGUGCGCAAUGUGCUUAAAAACACCUUCAGAGACCAGACACAGAGGAUGUGAUGGAAAGAACCCAAAGACAUGCAUUAUUUCUGUAGUGAAAUAAAGCCUGCAGUAGCACUAGCAGAGGGAAGCAUCCUGGUGGUGGUAUCAAAUAAAAUGGGACAAAUAUGAUUGGCAAGCACAGUAUUCCUCAACCCACACUCUGUCAAGUGAGACCCAGUCAGCAGGGAAAGGAGGGCACACACAGGCAAAUCAGCAGUGAUGUGCAGGGUCUGUUCCAGUGGAAGUGGAUAUUGGAUCAGGCCUUGCUACAAUCAAGUACAACUGAUUAAAGCAAAACUGCACUGUUGUGAACUGUGGGAAUUGCUAAUGCAACCAAGGUGAAUGGCCCUUACCAUUUGUGUUUUUCCCAAAUGCAUUUGCUGGAGCCAAGAUGCUGCCUGUGCGUCCACAGUGCUGUUUCUCUUUGUGCUGGCAUUGUUUCACUCUGAGUUCAUGUUCCCAAAGCCCUGCUCUGCCAUUUGUCCCUGGUGCUCCUCUCUCUCCCCCAGGUUUUGCAGUAUCAUUGCUCUGACAUCCCCAGCAUGAUCAUACCCAACAUUAUCCUGUCUCUUUUUUUCUUCCUGACAGCCACUCACAGGAAAUUCUCAUCUGAAGGAGGAUUUGUGAAGAGACCGUUGUCUCUGUGUGUUGUCUCUGACUUGUUCCCUUUUUGCAGUUCCUGUCAUAGCUCCUUGCUGCUCAGUCUCAGUUCUCUGAUGAAUCUAAUCUGCUUCCCCUGCUCCUUGACUGAAGAUACCAUCACAGCUGUUACUCAGUGCAUAGCAAGGGAGACAUCUCCAUCUGAUUACUCUCCUUUAAAAGCAAUAGCUUUGUGCAGAAUGUUUUCUUUCUCAGGGAUUGGACUAGAUGAUCUCCAGAGGUCUCUUCCAACUCUGACAAUUCUGUGAUUCUGUGUUUCUUCCCUUUUGAGUCACUCCUUCCUUUUGCAAUUUGAGGUGGGCUCUUCAUUUCUCAGCCCAGCUUUGGACCCUGGAGUUUGGAAAGAACCAACAUCUCUGUCACCUUUCACUCAGUCACCAAAGUCACCUUCUUUAAUCUGCAAAUGUGUUCUCUGUAUUGGUCAAAUUCAAUAAAUACCUUUAAUGUGACUAUAUGUGUGUGUCUGUUCACACUGAGGUAAGAGCUUGGAGGCAGCAGUCAGAGG